rnacentral:rRNA from 1 species
GCCUAACACAUGCAAGUCGAGCGGUAGCACAGAGAGCUUGCUCUCGGGUGACGAGCGGCGGACGGGUGAGUAAUGUCUGGGAAACUGCCUGAUGGAGGGGGAUAACUACUGGAAACGGUAGCUAAUACCGCAUAACGUCGCAAGACCAAAGUGGGGGACCUUCGGGCCUCAUGCCAUCAGAUGUGCCCAGAUGGGAUUAGCUAGUAGGUGGGGUAAUGGCUCACCUAGGCGACGAUCCCUAGCUGGUCUGAGAGGAUGACCAGCCACACUGGAACUGAGACACGGUCCAGACUCCUACGGGAGGCAGCAGUGGGGAAUAUUGCACAAUGGGCGCAAGCCUGAUGCAGCCAUGCCGCGUGUAUGAAGAAGGCCUUCGGGUUGUAAAGUACUUUCAGCGAGGAGGAAGGCGUUAAGGUUAAUAACCUUGGCGAUUGACGUUACUCGCAGAAGAAGCACCGGCUAACUCCGUGCCAGCAGCCGCGGUAAUACGGAGGGUGCAAGCGUUAAUCGGAAUUACUGGGCGUAAAGCGCACGCAGGCGGUCUGUCAAGUCGGAUGUGAAAUCCCCGGGCUCAACCUGGGAACUGCAUUCGAAACUGGCAGGCUAGAGUCUUGUAGAGGGGGGUAGAAUUCCAGGUGUAGCGGUGAAAUGCGUAGAGAUCUGGAGGAAUACCGGUGGCGAAGGCGGCCCC